GGGCGUUAAGUUGCAGGGUAUAGACCCGAAACCCGGUGAUCUAGCCAUGGGCAGGUUGAAGGUUGGGUAACACUAACUGGAGGACCGAACCGACUAAUGUUGAAAAAUUAGCGGAUGACCUGUGGCUGGGGGUGAAAGGCCAAUCAAACCGGGAGAUAGCUGGUUCUCCCCGAAAGCUAUUUAGGUAGCGCCUCGUGAAUUCAUCUCCGGGGGUAGAGCACUGUUUCGGCUAGGGGGCCAUCCCGGCUUACCAACCCGAUGCAAACUGCGAAUACCGGAGAAUGUUAUCACGGGAGACACACGGCGGGUGCUAACGUCCGUCGUGAAGAGGGAAACAACCCAGACCGCCAGCUAAGGUCCCAAAGUCAUGGUUAAGUGGGAAACGAUGUGGGAAGGCCCAGACAGCCAGGAUGUUGGCUUAGAAGCAGCCAUCAUUUAAAGAAAGCGUAAUAGCUCACUGGUCGAG
rnacentral:rRNA from 1 species